AGUGAACGCUGGCGGUAGGCCUAACACAUGCAAGUCGAACGGCAGCACAGUAAGAGCUUGCUCUUACGGGUGGCGAGUGGCGGACGGGUGAGGAAUACAUCGGAAUCUACUUUUUCGUGGGGGAUAACGUAGGGAAACUUACGCUAAUACCGCAUACGACCUACGGGUGAAAGCAGGGGAUCUUCGGACCUUGCGCGAUUGAAUGAGCCGAUGUCGGAUUAGCUAGUUGGCGGGGUAAAGGCCCACCAAGGCGACGAUCCGUAGCUGGUCUGAGAGGAUGGUCAGCCACACUGGAACUGAGACACGGACCAGACUCCUACGGGAGGCAGCAGUGGGGAAUAUUGGACAGUGGGCGCAAGCCUGAUCCAGCCAUACCGCGUGGGUGAAGAAGGCCUUCGGGUUGUAAAGCCCUUUUGUUGGGAAAGAAAAGCAGCAGGUUAAUACCCCGCUGUUCUGACGGUACCCAAAGAAUAAGCACCGGCUAACUUCGU
rnacentral:rRNA from 1 species